rnacentral:rRNA from 1 species
ACGUAGGGGACAAGCGUUAUCCGGAUUUAUUGGGCGUAAAGCGUGCGUAGGCGGCAUAUUAAGUUUAAGAUAAAAGCCCGGGGCUUAACUCCGGUUCGUCUUAAAAACUGAUAAGCUUGAGUGUGGUAGAGGUAAAUGGAAUUUCUAGUGUAGCGGUGAAAUGCGUAGAUAUUAGAAGGAACACCAGUGGCGAAGGCGAUUUACUGGGCCACAACUGACGCUGAGGCACGAAAGCGUGGGUAGCAAAUAG